AAACUAACAGAUUUACUUCGGUAAUGACGUUAGGAAAGCGAGCGGCGGAUGGGUGAGUAACACGUGGGGAACCUGCCCCAUAGUCUGGGAUACCACUUGGAAACAGGUGCUAAUACCGGAUAAGAAAGCAGAUCGCAUGAUCAGCUUUUAAAAGGCGGCGUAAGCUGUCGCUAUGGGAUGGCCCCGCGGUGCAUUAGCUAGUUGGUAAGGUAAAGGCUUACCAAGGCGAUGAUGCAUAGCCGAGUUGAGAGACUGAUCGGCCACAUUGGGACUGAGACACGGCCCAAACUCCUACGGGAGGCAGCAGUAGGGAAUCUUCCACAAUGGACGCAAGUCUGAUGGAGCAACGCCGCGUGAGUGAAGAAGGUGUUUCGGAUCGUAAAGCUCUGUUGUUGGUGAA
rnacentral:rRNA from 1 species